rnacentral:rRNA from 1 species
GCAAGUCGAGCGAUGAAACACCUUCGGGUGUGAAUUAGCGGCGAACGGGUGAGGAACACGUGAAGAAUCUGCCUUCAACUCUGGGAUAACUCCGGGAAACCGGGGCUAAUACCGGAUAUGAGCCUUGAUCGCAUGAUCGGGGCUGGAAAGUUUUUCGGUUGAAGAUGACUUCGCGGCCUAUCAGCUUGUUGGUGAGGUAAUGGCUCACCAAGGCGACGACGGGUAGCCGGCCUGAGAGGGCGACCGGCCACACUGGGACUGAGACACGGCCCAGACUCCUACGGGAGGCAGCAGUGGGGAAUAUUGGGCAAUGGAGGAAACUCUGACCCAGCGACGCCGCGUGAGGGAUGAAGGCCUUCGGGUUGUAAACCUCUUUCAGUAGGGAAGAAGCGAAAGUGACGGUACCUACAGAAGAAGCACCGGCUAACUAUGUGCCAGCAGCCGCGGUAAUACAUAGGGUGCAAGCGUUGUCCGGAAUUAUUGGGCGUAAAGAGCUCGUAGGUGGUUCGAUACGUCGGAUGUGAAAAUCAGGGGCUCAACCCCUGACCUGCAUCCGAUACGGUCGAGCUGGAGUUUGGUAGGGGAGACUGGAAUUCCUGGUGUAGCGGUGGAAUGCGCAGAUAUCAGGAGGAACACCGAUGGCGAAGGCAGGUCUCUGGGCCAAUACUGACACUGAGGAGCGAAAGCGUGGGGAGCGAACAGGAUUAGAUACCCUGGUAGUCCACGCCGUAAACGGUGGGCGCUAGUUGUGCGAACCUUCCACGGUUUGUGCGACGCAGCUAACGCAUUAAGCGCCCCGCCUGGGGAGUACGAUCGCAAGAUUAAAACUCAAAGGAAUUGACGGGGCCCCGCACAAGCAGCGGAGCAUGCGGCUUAAUUCGACGCAACGCGAAGAACCUUACUAGGGCUUGACAUAUACAGGAAUACGGCAGAGAUGUCGUAGCCCGCAGGUCUGUAUA